GGUGAGGUAACGGCUCACCAAGUCCACGAUGGAUAGGGGUUCUGAGAGGAAGGUCCCCCACACUGGUACUGAGACACGGACCAGACUCCUACGGGAGGCAGCAGUGAGGAAUAUUGGUCAAUGGGCGAGAGCCUGAACCAGCCAAGUCGCGUGAAGGAUGAAGGAUCUAUGGUUUGUAAACUUCUUUUAUAUGGGAAUAAAGUGAGGAACGUGUUCCUUUUUGUAUGUACCAUAUGAAUAAGCAUCGGCUAACUCCGUGCCAGCAGCCGCGGUAAUACGGAGGAUGCGAGCGUUAUCCGGAUUUAUUGGGUUUAAAGGGUGCGUAGGUGGUUAAUUAAGUCAGCGGUGAAAGUUUGUGGCUCAACCAUAAAAUUGCCGUUGAAACUGGUUGACUUGAGUAUAUUUGAGGUAGGCGGAAUGCGUGGUGUAGCGGUGAAAUGCAUAGAUAUCACGCAGAACUCCGAUUGCGAAGGCAGCUUACUAAACUAUAACUGACACUGAAGCACGAAAGCGUGGGGAUCAAACAGGAUUAGAUACCCUGGUAGUCCACGCAGUAAACGAUGAUUACUAGCUGUUUGCGAUACACAGUAAGCGGCACAGCGAAAGCGUUAAGUAAUCCACCUGGGGAGUACGCCGGCAACGGUGAAACUCAAAGGAAUUGACGG
rnacentral:rRNA from 1 species